UGUCUGCGCGCCCUCAAGGGGUCUGCGAGGCCACGGGUCGGUCUGUGCCGAAUCCGGGAUGGCUGUGGACCCCAGCCCGAGCCGCAGGCCCCAUUUAACCUCCUUACAGCAGCCCAGAGGGGAAGGGCCGAGAGCAACCUGUUUAUUGAUUCCUUCAGAUGGAGACCAGUGUUCCCGCAUAGUCGAUUUGGGCGGUCGGGGCCAGAAACCCGCGGCGGGACACUUUUCAUAAGGAUCCUUCAAAGAAUCAGGGUCUCCGGAGGAAGGGACCGUCAAGCCGUGUGCCCAGUGGCUCGUUUUCAGCUGCGGAGAAGCACAUCAGACCCCCGGAGCCGCGAGCAGCCGGGUCUGCGCCCCGGAGUGCCCUACUCGCGGCUGACCUUACCACCGCUGGAGGAGCGGGAGUUCUGCCUUCGACCUGAGCCUCUGGGUCCUCCCUUUCCUCUCUUUCAUUAACCCGCUGAAAAUCUUAUUUUUAAUCUGGUGAAAUAAAAAAAAAAGUGAGUUCAGACCCCCAGAAGCUGGAAGGUCCUGAGAAUUCUGGCACAUUCACGGUGGUGCGUGGCCCUUUCACUGUGCAAGGGUGAAAUCUAGGACACACAGGAAACACCAUCAUGAACCUAAAACUGAAAUGGCUUAAAUUCUAACCCCCACCCCUUAGGAGGUUUGGCUUUUAAUUUCGGGAGACUCUUCCAGUUUCUCUGGAAAGUGUAUUGACUUUUUGUAUUUGAUAUCUUUUAACAUUUUCAUUUUUUCCAAGUCAUUAGAAAAAUUCACUGUAAAAAAAACACUGCUUUGGGCCUAGAGAAUGUGGGGUCCUGUCUCUUGGGGAUGUCUAACAGGAGAGAGUUGAACUUGUGGUGAAGGAGAAGGAGUGACCAGGAGACAGGUGCAUCCCUUGUUGUUCAGAUGGUGUGAUUGAAGGCAGUGUGGUAACAAAGCAGACCUGAGGGGCAGUGGACUCUCACCUGAAGCACACCCAGGGUCUGUGUGUCCUGAUCUCAGGGGGCUUUCUUUUUAUUUUGUGACCUUAUCCUAUGCAAUGUGUAUGUGUGAUUUAAGAUAGGGCGAGAGGGAAGAUGACAGUGUCUACUUGCAAAGUCCUGUGAGUUCAUUUGACAUAAGGAAAGGGCAUAAGACAAGGUUGAAAGCUGAUAUCGAAGGAGAAGCAGUCAUUCCGUGUUUUAUUAUUUAACUUCCAUGGAAGCCUCGCAGGUUUUAUCAGAUUCAUCAAUAUGGUGAAGAAACUGAAUUUCAAAGAGGCCUUGCAGCUGGCCCAGCUCAGCCAUGUGCUGGGAAGGAAGGCUCAGCUGGACCUGCACAUGGGGACCCACUGCCUCCAGACCCUGUACUUGCUGUUGAUCAACUGCCCUACCAGCUGCUCCGCCUCAGAUCCAUCCAGGGUUAGGGUUAGGGUUGGGGUUAGAACUUGUAAGAGGUGGGGCCUAGUGGGAGGUCAGUACUGGCCCUCCCUGCUCUUUGGCUUUCUGUCUUCCCAUGCAGUCUCCUGUUCCUUCCACCAGGAGCUACCUGCUAUGAUAUGCCACAUCUGAGGAGCUCUCAGAAAAGCGGGUGCCAUGCUAUCUGUACUUCCAGCCUCCCAAACUGUGAGCCAAACAAACCACAUUUCUUUACAAUUACCCAGCUUCAGAUAUUUCAUUGUAGCAAUAGAAAACAGGCUAAUAACAGUGAUUGUAUAACUUCUUUCUGGUUGUAAAUAUUGUUUGAAAGUGAGAGGAGCCUGAUUAAUUCUGAUGCUGAGAUAAGAGGUGCAAUCAGGACAGGUUGACCCAGGGGGAUGGUGGCAUCUCACAGGUUAUCUUUCUAUCUAAAACAUAGACUCCUGGAUCAACUCUUUAAAAGGCUAAAGCCAAAUGUUAAAAAUGAGAAACAACCAACGUUUAAACAAUAGUCAAAGUGUCAAGAAAAUUAUACCUAGUCCACUUAAAAGUAUAUUAUACAGCAACAAUAUUAUAGUUAUGAAGAUUACAUGAAACAUGGAAAUAUUUAUGAUCUACUUAAUUUUAAAUGAGAAAGCAGAGUUCAAGAUCGUACCCCGAUUGUUGCUACCAUUAUAUAAAACUAUGGUAAAAGUAAGGAAAAGUCUAGAAGGAAAAUAUUUUGAAUGGUAACUCUUGUUACAUUAAAAUAGUGGGUUAUUCUCAGCUGCCAGCACAUGAAUCCAAAUGUCACUUCACCUGCAGGACAGUCAGGGUGGGCAGAAGACCUGUGUGGUCCAUAAGUUCUUCUUUUCCUUUCUCAAGAUCACAGAAAGUUCUGUCUCACCAGAGGAAUGAACAGAUAUGUACCUGGACCCACAGUGUGAUGGAUUAUCUUUUGUUGUUACAAUUAUUCCUUUUUACUUGAGUUUCAAACAUUCGUAAAAGGAAUGUGUUACAGUUGUGAUAAAAAAAAGUUACAUUAAAGAUUAAGUUAACAACUUUGUCGUAGUUGAAUACAGUGCAUUUAGAUUAAAAAAAAAUCUCUAAGGACAACUAUGGGUUUCAACUAGGGGUUGGGGAAAAAGAUUGUUAGGGAAUCUGCAGCCAGAGCCUGAACCAAUCAAGCAAGAAAAGAAGGAAGGGAGGUAGAAAGGGAAGAAGGGAGGUGUCUACAAUAGGUGGUCACUUGAGCCUUGAGUUGUACCUUCCAAAGGCUUCUCCCAAGAGCAUUUAAUCAGUGUUCCCAGAUACUAGCUCUCUCCAGUUGCAGUUUUGAUAAAAAGGCAGAACUAGUGUUUUUCCAUGUACUUUGCCUCAAAGGAACAUCUCCCCAUUAUUUUGGUUCAUCCUGUUUCCAAUGAGCACCAAUCUCAUAAGGUCACCAAAACACCAUUCCACCUCAAAAUAUCUGUCCCAGAGCUAGGAAGGGUGGUACACACCAAUAAUCUCAGUAACUCUGAAAGUAGAGGCAAGAGGGUUGCCAAUUUGAGGCCAGCCUAGCAACUUAGUGCGAACCCCAGGGUCAACUUUGUAUGACCCUGUCUCAAAAAAAAAAAAAAAAAAAAAAAAA